UACGAAGGGGGCUAGCGUUGUUCGGAAUUACUGGGCGUAAAGCGCGCGCAGGCGGUUCUUCCAGUCAGAGGUGAAAGCCCAGAGCUCAACUCUGGAAUGGCCUUUGAGACUAGAGAACUAGGGUACGGGAGAGGUGAGUGGAAUUCCGAGUGUAGAGGUGAAAUUCGUAGAUAUUCGGAAGAACACCAGUGGCGAAGGCGGCUCACUGGCCCGUUACCGACGCUCAGGCGCGACAGCGUGGGGAGCAAACAGG
rnacentral:rRNA from 1 species